rnacentral:rRNA from 1 species
CCCCUAGACGUUCUGGGCCGCACGCGCGCUACACUGACACAGGCAACGAGCUUUCCUUUACCGAAAGGUAUGGGUAAUCUUUUGAAACUGUGUCGUGCUGGGGAUAGAUCCUUGCAAUUUUUGAUCUUAAACGAGGAAUUCCUAGUAAGCGCGAGUCAUCAACUCGCGUUGAUUACGUCCCUGCCCUUUGUACACACCGCCCGUCGCUACUACCGAUUGAAUGGCUUAGUGAGGCCUCAGGAUCCGCGCUUAAUGUGUGGAGAAUUUGGACAAACUACGUCAUUUAGAGGAAGUAAAAGUCGUAACA